CCCCGGCUGCGCCGCUCCAGUGAGGCUCCAACACAGCAGCUUUUGGAGAUACUCAGCCGGAGGGCAAUGUCUUCUUAGCGGCAGCUCUGGAGUGCCCGAGUCACAGCGACGGUCGUAUCCGUUCUGACGCUUAAAAAAAAAUUAGAAGUUACAAACAGGCAGCAGCCAAAUGCACGAAACCCUGCAUGCAUCUGAUGCUCUGUGCGCUGCCGCCUCUCUGUUCUCCAUGGAUCCAUCGUGUCUGUUUCUGCUGUACGAAGGUGUUUUUUAAAUCUAAGAGAGACAUGUUGUUUGUAUUAAUAAAAUAAAUAGGAAUAAUGAUCAAUAAAUGACAGACUAUCCAACACCCCCCUCCAGGGCUGACGAAAUGGCAUCAACUGGAGCAUCUUUCAGAAACCGAGCGAGGGGGGAAGCAAAAGCGAAGGCGAGAGCGCGCGAGUGAGGAGAAGAGGAGAAGGCAGCUUGAGCAGCAGACUGCCGAACUCUGAUCACAAGGCAAAGUGGAAGCUAACAUUGCAUUCAGGCUGUGCUGGGACUUGAAUCGGUGAGAGGUGGCAAGGAGACCCUUGAGGGGCCUGGAUGAAGAAUGGGAGGGCAAGGUGGAAGAACGACACUUCUCCCCUUCGCACUGCCUAGCAGACUGACUUCAGUCCGAGUUUCUUCUUAAGUCUUCAGAGUGGUGCGGAUGCGGCAGCACGCUGGCUGCUCAGCGCCGACAGACGUCCUAAAACCAAAACAGGCUGUUGAGUAAAAACCAAGGCUGGAACAGUGGACUGUAAAAAAUGGCUUAAAUAAAAAUAUAAAUAGGAACUUGCUCUUGAGAGAUCCUGGUUUGAGAAGUGGCCGCUCUGUGGCCAAACAUGAAGUUUGCACCCAGCUGAGAAAAGGAGCGUGACGAGCAAAGGUUUUAGCUGAAAAGGGUACAUGUAUGGGAUUUUCUUUUAUUGCUUUCUUUUUCUCGUAGUACAUAGCUGGGAUUCGCAGUGCUGCAGAACAUGUGUUCCUUAGGAAGCAGAUGAGAAAACUAAGUGUUAUGUUCUUUCAUGGAGACUCACGCAUCCACCUCUGUAUGAUGCAUCCUUAGCCUGUGUUUUAUACUGAAAUAUAUGCACCAUAGAAUUAAGGGGCUCACCAGCUUCCAGUUUGAUUUUUUUGUUGUUGUUCUCUAGUAAAAUAGCAGAGGGAGCUAACAACCAAGCGCAGGUGUUUCUCCCAUCCCCGCAUCUGUUUGUAAAUGUCAUGUGUCCUGGUGUUCUUCUGGAUAGCUUUUCUGUUUCUUUAUGGUAAUAUCGUAACUUAUAAAACAGUCUGCUCAGAAUCUCAGCAAACUGUAGGCAGAGGACCUCAGGCCUCAUGAAACAGAGGGGGAAAGCAGGCCCUCUGAUGCUUGUCCUUUGGGCAAACUCAUCUUCCUUCCUUCAUUUGCUAGGAGGAGAAGGUUGAAUUAUUUUAGCUUGCUAUGAAUUAAUCCUGGCCCAGAGAAGCAAAAGGCCUUUUUACUAGACUCCUCUAGCACUAAGAAGCCCCGUGAUUUCUGUGGCCUGAUCAAGAGGGGGGCAAGGACUUGGUCAUUAUUGUGGGAUAUUGAUAUGAGCAUUUAAUCCCUCCAAUUACAAAUCACUAAGUUUGGUCCUGGGGCCUUACAGUAUGUUAGCGCUCCGCCUCAGAGGGACCGAGCAGACCGUGUAUUUCAAGGGAAGGCAACAUUGCAAUAGACAAGGGAAAGGGAGAGCUAGAUCAUCCUUGAUCCUGGUUCAGUGGAAUGGUGGGAAGGACCUGGGAGCUGCAGCUCUGCGUGGUGUUGCUCCCUUGCUGUGGAAAUCCCUCCAUGCCCCCUAGGUCAAUCCCACACACGAUUAGAGCAGCUAAUACAGGAUGCCGGGAAAGGUCCAUUCACAUUUUCCCACAGUUUGUCUGGACAAAUACUUUUCUUCUUUCCUUCACCGUCCCAACCACAUGUGGGGGUGGAGUGGGAACUGAGACAGGAACGGGCGAACACUGGUUCCUACUGUUGGGGAACAUGUUCAGAAGGGCAUAAGCUAGUGAGUCAGGAAGAGAGGAAAAGUUUUGAUAUUUUAUUCCAAUUUGUUUUUAAAAAGCCACACAGAGAGCAAGCAGGACAUUACAAUUAUGCAGUUUUUGAGGGAGAAAUACAAAAAAUUGUGCAUGCCUUCUUCAGGUCUGAUCUUUUCUCGUCUUUUUACCUGAUGAUGAUUAAUGAUUAAGCGACCCUCUGUAUUUAGUAUCUGCAUCUUUCAGAGAAAACUUUUAAAAAUGGAUGGGUUUUGAUUUUGCACUGGCUUGGAGACAAGCUCUUUGUUUAUUCUUUUGAGUUAAUGAGAACCUUAGCUUGGUAUGGCCAUUAUCAGGCAUAGCUAUACACCUUUAGCAUUCUUAAUGUUCUCUUACGGGGCUAAUAUAAGCAUCUAUAUAAUAUAUAUUAUAAAUAUCACAUUUUAAACAGGAAAUGGAAGGCACUUGAUGCAGAAUUUUUGCAUGAUAUAGAAAUAAAGUUAGCUAGUGUUUGUUUGGUCUGAAUGUUGGUAGAAUCUUCAUAGCUUUGUUACAAUGGAACCUUGAACUGAAGAUAUUUAAUAAAAUAACAUUUAAACGGGG